GAAUUUUGGACAAUGGGCGCAAGCCUGAUCCAGCCAUGCCGCGUGAGUGAAGAAGGCCUUCGGGUUGUAAAGCUCUUUCGGACGGACAGAAAUCGCGCAGGCUAAUACCCUGCGCGGAUGACGGUACCGGCCUAAGAAGCACCGGCCAACUACGUGCCAGCAGCCGCAGUAAUACGUAGGGUGCGGGCGUUAAUCGGAAUUACUGGGCGUAAAGCGGGCGCAGGCGGUUGAAUAAGACAGGCGUGGAAUCCCCGGGCCUAACCUGGGAACUGCGCUUGGUACUGGUCAGCUAAAGUACGGCAGAGGGGGGUGGAAUUCCACGUGUAGCAGUGAAAUGCGUAGAGAUGUGGAGGAACACCGAUGGCGAAGGCAGCCCCCUGGGCCGAUACUGACGCUCAUGCACGAAAGCGUGGGUAGCAAACAGG
rnacentral:rRNA from 1 species